UACGUAGGGUGCGAGCGUUAUUCGGAAUUACUGGGCGUAAAGCGUGCGCAGGCGGUUCGUUGUGUCGGUGGUGAAAGCCCCGGGCUCAACCUGGGAAUUGCCAUGGAAACUGGCGAACUGGAGUGUGGCAGAGGGGGGUGGAAUUCCGCGUGUAGCAGUGAAAUGCGUAGAUAUGCGGAGGAACACCGAUGGCGAAGGCAAUCCCCUGGGCCUGCACUGACGCUCAUGCACGAAAGCGUGGGGAGCAAACAGG
rnacentral:rRNA from 1 species